rnacentral:misc_RNA from 1 species
UUCCAUCACUUGCCAUCAUGAAACUGUAGAAAUAAUAUCCCAUUAAACCAAACAUAGUGAGGCUAUGAAUCAAACAGAAACCUAAAAUGCCUUUUUUAGUAUGAUAAUGAUUCAUUUCAAAUUAUAAACAAAAGAUAACAACUUUGACACAUCUUGGUCAAGAUUACAUGGUGAUAAAGUUAUUAAAUAGGAGUAAAGUGAAUAGCAUACGGUAUUUGUGAUCCAUUGUCAUC